CGCUAGAGCUAGUCUUUCUGGGAAGUCACAGAGUGGACCAAGCCUAGCGUUCCAUCAUCUCACUACUCCCCAAGAUCCUGCACUUCCAAGCUCUGAGAGUCCGUCUUCCUCUCAUGUGUUUGCUUUUGAAGGAACCCAUGUGAAGACAGCCUGGUUCCGAGAGACGGUGUGUGGAAGCACUCACAGCGCGUGGCACUGGAACUGCCAGACUUCUCCCAAAGUGGCUGAACCGUGGCACAUCCCCACCAGCAAUACAUGAAGCUUCCAAUUUCGCCACCUCCUCACCGACACUUGUUAUUAUUAUCCAUCUUUUUAUUAUAGACAUCGAGUAGGAGUGAGGUGACCACUCAUUGUGGUUCUGACUUGUACUUCCUUAAUGACUGUUGAUUUUGAAUAUUGUUUGACAUGUUUAUUUUAUUAGCCAUUUGUGUAACUUCUUUGGAGAAAUGUUGACUCAAAUGGUCAUUGAAUUGACAAAAAUCAAGUCCCUGUGGAACUAUCACCUGCAUCAAGGCAUAGACAUUUCUAGCACUCUAGAAGACUCUUUUGUCCAGUCACAGGGUGACUACAGAUUAGGCUUUCCUACUUCAUUGAAAAGGAAUAGUACUUGACACCCUCCUUUUUUGUCUGGUUUCUUUUACUCAAUAUGAUGCCUG